UGGGGAAUUUUGGACAAUGGGGGCAACCCUGAUCCAGCCAUGCCGCGUGAGUGAAGAAGGCCUUCAGGUUGUAAAGCUCUUUCGGCCGGGAAGAAAUCGUGCGGGCUGAUACCCUGUAUGGAUGACGGUACCGGAAUAAGAAGCACCGGCUAACUACGUGCCAGCAGCCGCGGUAAUACGUAGAGUGCGAGCGUUAAUCGGAAUUACUGGGCGUAAAGCGUGCGCAGGCGGUUUUGUAAGACAGGCGUGAAAUCCCCGGGCUCAACCUGGGAACUGCGCUUGUGACUGCAAGACUAGAGUACGGCAGAGGGGGGUGGAAUUCCACGUGUAGCAGUGAAAUGCGUAGAGAUGUGGAGGAACACCAAUGGCGAAGGCAGCCCCCUGGGUCGAUACUGACGCUCAUGCACGAAAGCGUGGGGAGCAAACAG
rnacentral:rRNA from 1 species